rnacentral:rRNA from 1 species
UACAGAGGGGGUAAGCGUUGUUCGGAAUUACUGGGCGUAAAGCGUGCGCAGGCGGUUUUGUAAGCCAGAUGUGAAAUCCCCGGGCUUAACCUGGGAAUGGCAUUUGGGACUGCAAGGCUUGAGUGUGGCAGAGGAGACUGGAAUUCCUGGUGUAGCAGUGAAAUGCGUAGAUAUCAGGAGGAACACCGAUGGCGAAGGCAGGUCUCUGGGCUAACACUGACGCUCAUGCACGAAAGCGUGGGGAGCAAACAGG